GGGUGCGAUCAUACCAGCAUUAAAGCAUCAGAUCCCAUUAGAACUCCGAAGUUAAGUGUGCUUGGGCGAGUGUAGUACUAGGAUGGGUGCCCCUUGGGAAGUCCUCGUGUUGCACUCC
rnacentral:rRNA from 15 species